ensembl:lncRNA
CUGGGAUGACCAACACUGGUAGGUAGAGAGACUGGGAUGACCAACACUGGUAGGUAGAGAGACUGGGAUGACCAACACUGGUAGGUAGAGACAGACUGGGAUGACCAACACUGGUAGGUAGAGACAGACUGGGAUGACCAACACUGGUAGGUAGAGACAGACUGGGAUGACCAACACUGGUAGGUAGAGACAGACUGGGAUGACCAACACUGGUAGGUAGAGACAGACUGGGAUGACCAACACUGGUAGGCAGAGAGACUGGGAUGGCCAACACUGGUAGGUAGAGAGACUGGGAUGACCAACACUGGUAGGUAGAGAGACUGGGAUGACCAACACUGGUAGGUAGAGACAGACUGGGAUGACCAACACUGGUAGGUAGAGACAGACUGGGAUGACCAACACUGGUAGGUAGAGACAGACUGGGAUGACCAACAAUGGUAGGUAGAGACAGACUGGGAUGACCAACACUGGUAGGCAGACAGACUGGGAUGACCAACACUGGUAGGUAGAGACAGACUGGAUGACCAACACUGGUAGCUUGGCAUGUAAAGGCGAGGAAGAUGCCAAUGCCACUACAGUAUAUCUCCAUGGAAGUAUGAACCCCCAUAGCUAGCUACAGUUGGGCUCAAUUCCAUUUCAAUUCCAGUCAAUUCAGGAA